rnacentral:rRNA from 1 species
UACGUAGGGUGCGAGCGUUGUCCGGAAUUACUGGGCGUAAAGAGCUCGUAGGCGGUUUGUCGCGUCUGCUGUGAAAACUCGGGGCUUAACUCCGGGCCUGCAGUGGGUACGGGCAGACUAGAGUGUGGUAGGGGAGACUGGAGUUCCUGGUGUAGCGGUGAAAUGCGCAGAUAUCAGGAGGAACAUCGGUGGCGAAGGCGGGAUCCUGGACCACGACUGACGCUGAGUGAGCGAAAGCCAGGGGAGCAAACGGG